UACAAGGAAUAAAUGACAUUAUAUUAAUUCUAAGUAGCAGAUACAACAAGAGCAGGGAGAAUCCAUGCAUUGAUACAAUCUAAGUGGACGACGACAAAUACUUUUGGACUAAGACAAGUUUAGAAAAUGCUGGCCGAAGUAUCACGACAAUGAGACAAGGUUGAAGAUUUUAAAAUUCAAUUACAAACAAAGUUUUCUUUGGUUAGAUGGAAAUAAUAAAAUUGGUGGGUUGGCCACUCAAUUGUUACAAGAUAAAUAUAACUUUGAAGAAAUAAAAAGCAAAUAGCAGGAAAAAAUAGGCCAUUUCUAACACCGCAUCACUUUGUUCCUUUUAACAACUCCUCCCUAUAGAGUUUCCCAAAUCUAGUGCAUCUAACACCGACUCAUACAAGGAGACAUGGGAAGUGAAAGUUGGGCUGAUGUGUGGGGUGCUGGGGGUAUUGGUGCCAUGGAAAAUGAUGAUGCCAUUGGCAGCAGAUCCCAAAAUGACAUGGAUACCGGCGCCAACAACACCAAGAAAUCUACCAAGGGUGGCGGUGGUUUCACCAAAGUCAAGGCAGUUGCAAUGAUAGGUGUGCUCAAAAUCAAAAGCGGCACUUUAAUUUGUGUCAAUUGGAUCAAGAUCCAACUCAAGAGAAAGACUACAUCCAAAUAAAUGGGAUGCCCACUCCACUCGUUUUUUAUUAUUUGAUUAUUUCAUUGGGUGCCCAAAUGCGUAUACUUCCUAAAUCUACUUGUAGUACCUGAGAAAAUUUUAUAUGCUCCGAAAACAAGUGGUUCUCUUUAUUCUCCUUUCUUUUUUUUUUUAUUAAUCGCAUUGUAUCUUAAACCCUAAAUUUUAAACCCAACAAAUUAGACAAAAAUCCAAAAUAGCCCUGACAAUUACCUCGAAAGACAACGAAGCCCUUGACAAAAAAAAAAACAACUCGACCCUUGACAAUUACCUUAAAAGGACAACGAGGCCUCUGUGCCAAAAAAAGUUAAUGUUUUUUUUUUGGUAUAGGGACUAAUCAGUCUCAAAAAAAAAAAAAGGAGCCGGAUUUGGUGUUUUUUUUUCCUUGGGGACCUCGUUGUCAGUCCUAGAUAAUUGUCAGGGGCCAAGUGAGGUAUUCACUCAAAAAAUUAUAAUGUCAGAUGGGAACACAGCUCCAAUGACCUAACAACUCCGGAAUUUUGGAUGCACACAUUCUUAAUGGUGUACUUCAUUGUUACUCAGGGAAAAAAUAACAAUAAAAAGAUCAAUCUUCCUUCAAGAUUAAUUAACACUAAUGGAAAUUUGGGAACUCUUAAGAAUGUGUUUGUGCAAAUUAUAGCAUCAAGAAGACGAUGAUGUUACUCGAACAAUGCAACUAAGAAUUAAAAAGAAAGUGUAGUAAUCAAUUCUCAUCCAUUGAAAUUCAUAAUUUAAAAUAAUGAAACAUAAUCAAGGUGUAAGAUAACAUUGCUCAAUAUACCACCAAAAAAAAAUUACUCAAAGGACUUUGUACCGAUGAUUAGCUGCAAAUAAUUUGCACCUUGCA